rnacentral:rRNA from 1 species
AACGAACGCUGGCGGCAUGCCUAACACAUGCAAGUCGAACGAGGCCUUCGGGUCUAGUGGCGCACGGGUGCGUAACGCGUGGGAACCUGCCCUUAGGUUCGGAAUAACUCCCCGAAAGGGGUGCUAAUACCGGAUAAUGUCUUCGGACCAUAGAUUUAUCGCCUUUGGAUGGGCCCGCGUUGGAUUAGCUAGUUGGUAGGGUAAAAGCCUACCAAGGCGACGAUCCAUAGCUGGUCUGAGAGGAUGAUCAGCCACACUGGGACUGAGACACGGCCCAGACUCCUACGGGAGGCAGCAGUGGGGAAUAUUGGACAAUGGGCGAAAGCCUGAUCCAGCAAUGCCGCGUGAGUGAUGAAGGCCUUAGGGUUGUAAAGCUCUUUUACCCGGGAUGAUAAUGACAGUACCGGGAGAAUAAGCUCCGGCUAACUCCGUG